ACUCAAAUGAAUUGACGGGGGCCCGCACAAGCGGAGGAACAUGUGGUUUAAUUCGAUGAUACGCGAGGAACCUUACCCGGGCUCGAACGGCUCUAGAAUAUAUCAGAGAUGGUAUAGCCAGCGAUGGCUGGAGUCGAGGUGCUGCAUGGUUGUCGUCAGCUCGUGCCGUGAGGUGUAGGCUUAAGUGCCAUAACGAGCGCAACCCUUGUUGUUAGUUGCCAUCAGGUAAAGCUGGGGACUCUAGCGAGACUGCCACCGUAAGGUGCGAGGAAGGGGGGGAUGACGUCAAAUCAGCACGGCCCUUACGUCCGGGGCGACACACGUGUUACAAUGGUGGAUACAGAGGGGCGCUACCCAGUGAUGGGAUGCGAAUCUCUAAAGUCCAUCUCAGUUCGGAUUGGAGUCUGCAACUCGACUCCAUGAAGUUGGAUUCGCUAGUAAUCGCGCAUCAGCCAUGGCGCGGUGAAUACGUUCCCGGGCCUUGUACACACCGCCCGU
rnacentral:rRNA from 1 species